CAGGAGUGGAAGCAAAGUAUAGCUCUGAAAAGAGCUAAGUGAUUAAGCUGCAUAGAUUCCCCUUUCAAGAACGAGACGAGGCUACGUUUUGAAGGGUCAAGAAGAACUGAGGAUUUAUUGACAGACACUCUCUUUUAUGCGAUUCUGCCCAUGCAAGGGAGACACCCACAUAAUUAGCAGUACAACCAAUCCAUACAAUAUACAU